rnacentral:rRNA from 1 species
AAUCCAUAGGUUAAUGAGGCGAACCGGGGGAACUGAAACAUCUAAGUACCCCGAGGAAAAGAAAUCAACCGAGAUUCCCCCAGUAGCGGCGAGCGAACGGGGAGGAGCCCAGAGCCUGAAUCAGCAUGUGUGUUAGUGGAAGCGUCUGGAAAGGCGCGCGAUACAGGGUGACAGCCCCGUACACAAAAGCGCAUGUGCUGUGAGCUCGAUGAGUAGGGCGGGACACGUGGUAUCCUGUCUGAAUAUGGGGGGACCAUCCUCCAAGGCUAAAUACUCCUGACUGACCGAUAGUGAACCAGUACCGUGAGGGAAAGGCGAAAAGAACCCCGGCGAGGGGAGUGAAAAAGAACCUGAAACCGUGUACGUACAAGCAGUGGGAGCACCCUUUGGGUGUGACUGCGUACCUUUUGUAUAAUGGGUCAGCGACUUAUAUUCUGUAGCAAGGUUAACCGAAUAGGGGAGCCGGAGGGAAACCGAGUCUUAACCGGGCGUUAAGUUGCAGGGUAUAGACCCGAAACCCGGUGAUCUAGCCAUGGGCAGGUUGAAGGUUGGGUAACACUAACUGGAGGACCGAACCGACUAAUGUUGAAAAAUUAGCGGAUGACCUGUGGCUGGGGGUGAAAGGCCAAUCAAACCGGGAGAUAGCUGGUUCUCCCCGAAAGCUAUUUAGGUAGCGCCUCGUGAAUUCAUCUCCGGGGGUAGAGCACUGUUUCGGCUAGGGGGCCAUCCCGGCUUACCAACCCGAUGCAAACUGCGAAUACCGGAGAAUGUUAUCACGGGAGACACACGGCGGGUGCUAACGUCCGUCGUGAAGAGGGAAACAACCCAGACCGCCAGCUAAGGUCCCAAAGUCAUGGUUAAGUGGGAAACGAUGUGGGAAGGCCCAGACAGCCAGGAUGUUGGCUUAGAAGCAGCCAUCAUUUAAAGAAAGCGUAAUAGCUCACUGGUCGAGUCGGCCUGCGCGGAAGAUGUAACGGGGCUAAACCAUGCACCGAAGCUGCGGCAGCGACACUGUGUGUUGUUGGGUAGGGGAGCGUUCUGUAAGCCUGCGAAGGUGGCCUGUGAGGGUUGCUGGAGGUAUCAGAAGUGCGAAUGCUGACAUAAGUAACGAUAAAGCGGGUGAAAAGCCCGCUCGCCGGAAGACCAAGGGUUCCUGUCCAACGUUAAUCGGGGCAGGGUGAGUCGACCCCUAAGGCGAGGCCGAAAGGCGUAGUCGAUGGGAAACGGGUUAAUAUUCCCGUACUUGGUGUUACUGCGAAGGGGGGACGGAGAAGGCUAUGUUGGCCGGGCGACGGUUGUCCCGGUUUAAGCGUGUAGGUGUGUGUUCCAGGUAAAUCCGGUUCACUUUAACACUGAGGCGUGACGACGAGGCACUACGGUGCUGAAGCAACAAAUGCCCUGCUUCCAGGAAAAGCCUCUAAGCAUCAGGUAACAUCAAAUCGUACCCCAAACCGACACAGGUGGUCAGGUAGAGAAUACCAAGGCGCUUGAGAGAACUCGGGUGAAGGAACUAGGCAAAAUGGUGCCGUAACUUCGGGAGAAGGCACGCUGACACGUAGGUGAAGUGAUUUACUCAUGGAGCUGAAGUCAGUCGAAGAUACCAGCUGGCUGCAACUGUUUAUUAAAAACACAGCACUGUGCAAACACGAAAGUGGACGUAUACGGUGUGACGCCUGCCCGGUG